rnacentral:rRNA from 1 species
GUGCAGCAGGCGAGAAUUUUUCUCAAUGGGGGCAACCCUGAAGGAGCGACGCCGCGUGGAGGAUGAAGGCUUUCGGGUUGUAAACUCCUGUCAUUUGAGAACAAGUGGCCGAACCUAACUACUUCGGCCUUGAUAGUAUCAGAAGAGGAAGGGACGGCUAACUCUGUGCCAGCAGCCGCGGUAAUACAGAGGUCCCAAGCGUUGUUCGGAUUCAUUGGGCGUAAAGGGUGCGUAGGUGGCGCCGUCAGUGGGGUGUGAAAUUUCGGAGCUUAACUCCGAAACUGCAUUCCAUACUGCGGUGCUUGAGGACUGGAGAGGAGACUGGAAUUUACGGUGUAGCAGUGAAAUGCGUAGAGAUCGUAAGGAAGACCAGUGGCGAAGGCGGGUCUCUGGACAGUUCCUGACACUGAGGCACGAAGGCCAGGGGAGCAAACGGGAUUAGAUACCCCGGUA